AUUGAACGCUGGCGGCAGGCUUAACACAUGCAAGUCGAGCGAGCGGCGGACGGGUGAGUAAUGUCUGGGAAACUGCCUGAUGGAGGGGGAUAACUACUGGAAACGGUAGCUAAUACCGCAUACCAUCAGAUGUGCCCAGAUGGGAUUAGCUAGUAGGGGGGGUAAUGGCUCACCUAGGCGACGAUCCCUAGCUGGUCUGAGAGGAGGACCGGCCCAACGGGAACUGAGACACGUUCCAGACUCCGACGGGAGGCGGCAGUGGGGAAGAUUGCACAUGGGGUGCAGGCCUGAUGCAGCCAUGCCGGGGGUGUGAAGAAGGCCUUCGGGUUGUAAAGCAUUUUCAGCGAGGAGGCGUUACUCGCAGAAGAAGCACCGGCUAACUCCGUGCCAGCAGCCGCGGUAAUAC
rnacentral:rRNA from 1 species